rnacentral:lncRNA from 1 species
AACCAAAAAUACAAAACACGUUAAACUAAAAACUGCAGGUCCACAGCUGACAGCACACGCCCACGCCUUAUCAACAAAGUUCUCCUGCCGCUCAUAAUUUCUCCAAGAGAACAAUCAUCCUUAAACAUCAUCUUAUAGCUCAAUUUUAUCACCAAUCAAUAUAAUUGCACCUACAAAAGUAAAACACAAGUAAAUCACUAUUAUUAAGUGCAAAACAUCGAUAUUAAGGGAAGUAAACAAUGCAAAACUAGUGCAUAAAUUGAACUCUAACAAAUAGUAAAGAGAUUAAAGACUUUUAAAAUUAACUAUAAAAUCGUAUGGCGCCUUAACUAUUUUAUCUAAUACCAUAUGGUGUUAUAAAUUUAUUUUAUCAGUAUUUUGUUAGUUUUUCCAAACAUCAGUGUGUUUUUGGAAGCAAACCAGCACGUGAAAUCCAAUCUGAAUUUAGACACCAUGCCUAAUUUAGAAUUAAAGAGGAUUCAUGCACGAAAUAUAUUGGAUAGCGCGUGAAAGCACGAUUCAAAUUGAAUAAGAAUUAUUCAAAAUUGAUUUAAAGGUAGAUGUAUAUUCACGUACAGCAACUUUCAAGUAUAUCGAUGUAUAUUCACGAUGAUAAAAGAACUGAUUUUAAUAUAAAUUCGAAAUAAAUAAAUUGUUAAAUUAUACGAGUACAUUUGAGAAUUUGAAGUUAAAUUAUCCAUUAAAAUUUCAGACUUAAGAUGAAAGUUAGAAAUGCCUUAAAUAAAUGAUUUUUUUUUCUAAAAAAUAAAAAAGUUUGAUAUUUGAAACGAAGAAUUUGACAAACUAAUAACAAACCAACAAUAAAAACAUAUGAUGUUAUACUGUUUAUUUUAACAUAUAUCCUAAAUUAAGCAACAAAUUAAGAAAUAUGAUCUGGGGGCUGGGGGGCAGGACGACCUAAAGAAGCAAGAUGAAAUCAGGAUUUGGCCGAAAUUAUGAUCAAACUCGAAGCUUAUGCAACUUUUCCAAGCGGUCGAUCACACGAAACUCGAAAGAUACAACCUUUCAUCCACUUCUGAUGAUGGGGAUACAAGAUAAAUAAUACUUUUUCUUUCUAUAAUUUGCUAGAUCUCUAUUACAUUAUUACCAUCAAUUAUCAUUUAACUAAAAAAUAGAACUGCGCUUCACGCGACUUUGAAAAAAGAAUUUAAUAUUAUUCUUUUUUCUUAC